GACGAACGCUGGCGGCGUGCUUAACACAUGCAAGUCGAACGGAAAGGCCCUGCUUUCGUGGGGUGCUCGAGUGGCGAACGGGUGAGUAACACGAGAGUAACCUGCCCUUGACUUUGGGAUAACUUCAGGAAACUGGGGCUAAUACCGGAUAGGAGCUCCUGCUGCAUGGUGGGGGUUGGAAAGUUUCGGCGGUUGGGGAUGGACUCGCGGCUUAUCAGCUUGUUGGUGGGGUAGUGGCUUACCAAGGCUUUGACGGGUAGCCGGCCUGAGAGGGUGACCGGCCACAAUGGGACUGAGAUACGGCCCAGACUCCUACGGGAGGCAGCAGUGGGGAAUAUUGCACAAUGGGCGGAAGCCUGAUGCAGCGACGCCGCGUGCGGGAUGACGGCCUUCGGGUUGUAAACCGCUGUCGCCUGUGACGAAGCGGGAGUGACGGUAAUGGGUAAAGAAGCACCGGCUAACUACGUG
rnacentral:rRNA from 1 species